rnacentral:rRNA from 1 species
ACGACGAAGNCGGACAAGUGCUCAGAAUCGUAACNGNNAACCGUAGAGUUUGAUCGUGGGACAGAAGAGUAACACGUGGGUAACCUGCCUGUAAGACUGGGAUAACUCCGGGAAACCGGGGCUAAUACCGGAUGGUUGUUUGAACCGCAUGGUUCAAACAUAAAAGGUGGCUUCGGCUACCACUUACAGAUGGACCCGCGGCGCAUUAGCUAGUUGGUGAGGUAACGGCUCACCAAGGCAACGAUGCGUAGCCGACCUGAGAGGGUGAUCGGCCACACUGGGACUGAGACACGGCCCAGACUCCUACGGGAGGCAGCAGUAGGGAAUCUUCCGCAAUGGACGAAAGUCUGACGGAGCAACGCCGCGUGAGUGAUGAAGGUUUUCGGAUCGUAAAGCUCUGUUGUUAGGGAAGAACAAGUACCGUUCAAAUAGGGCGGUACCUUGACGGUACCUAACCAGAAAGCCACGGCUAACUACGUGCCAGCAGCCGCGGUAAUACGUAGGUGGCAAGCGUUGUCCGGAAUUAUUGGGCGUAAAGGGCUCGCAGGCGGUUUCUUAAGUCUGAUGUGAAAGCCCCCGGCUCAACCGGGGAGGGUCAUUGGAAACUGGGGAACUUGAGUGCAGAAGAGGAGAGUGGAAUUCCACGUGUAGCGGUGAAAUGCGUAGAGAUGUGGAGGAACACCAGUGGCGAAGGCGACUCUCUGGUCUGUAACUGACGCUGAGGAGCGAAAGCGUGGGGAGCGAACAGGAUUAGAUACCCUGGUAGUCCACGCCGUAAACGAUGAGUGCUAAGUGUUAGGGGGUUUCCGCCCCUUAGUGCUGCAGCUAACGCAUUAAGCACUCCGCCUGGGGAGUACGGUCGCAAGACUGAAACUCAAAGGAAUUGACGGGGGCCCGCACAAGCGGUGGAGCAUGUGGUUUAAUUCGAAGCAACGCGAAGAACCUUACCAGGUCUUGACAUCCUCUGACAAUCCUAGAGAUAGGACGUCCCCUUCGGGGGCAGAGUGACAGGUGGUGCAUGGUUGUCGUCAGCUCGUGUCGUGAGAUGUUGGGUUAAGUCCCGCAACGAGCGCAACCCUUGAUCUUAGUUGCCAGCAUUCAGUUGGGCACUCUAAGGUGACUGCCGGUGACAAACCGGAGGAAGGUGGGGAUGACGUCAAAUCAUCAUGCCCCUUAUGACCUGGGCUACACACGUGCUACAAUGGACAGAACAAAGGGCAGCGAAACCGCGAGGUUAAGCCAAUCCCACAAAUCUGUUCUCAGUUCGGAUCGCAGUCUGCAACUCGACUGCGUGAAGCUGGAAUCGCUAGUAAUCGCGGAUCAGCAUGCCGCGGUGAGUACCUUCCCGGCCCUGUGCUCUCUCCCGCUCCGCCUCGUAACAAGUACCCCUUGUCUUCCUUCCCGNUUUCUUCCCGCCUUNCCCNUUGUUGG